ensembl:misc_RNA Metazoa_SRP Metazoan signal recognition particle RNA
GCCGGGUGUGGUGGUGCGCACCUGUACUCCCAGCUACUCGGGAGGCUGAGGCAGGAGAAUCACUUGAACCUGGGAGGCAGAGGUUGCAGUGAGCCAAGAUUGUGCCACUGCACUCCAGCCUGGGCAACAGAGUGAGACUCUGUCUCAA